GGCUAGGCGGACACGAGUUAACUGAACCUUCGGGGAACGUUAACGGCGUCGAGCGGCGGACGGGUGAGUAAUGCCUGGGAAAUUGCCCUGAUGUGGGGGAUAACCAUUGGAAACGAUGGCUAAUACCGCAUAAUAGCUUCGGCUCAAAGAGGGGGACCUUCGGGCCUCUCGCGUCAGGAUAUGCCCAGGUGGGAUUAGCUAGUUGGUGAGGUAAUGGCUCACCAAGGCGACGAUCCCUAGCUGGUCUGAGAGGAUGAUCAGCCACACUGGAACUGAGACACGGUCCAGACUCCUACGGGAGGCAGCAGUGGGGAAUAUUGCACAAUGGGCGCAAGCCUGAUGCAGCCAUGCCGCGUGUGUGAAGAAGGCCUUUCGGGUUGUAAAGCACUUUCAGUCGUGAGGAAGGUAGUGUAGUUAAUAGCUGCAUUAUUUGACGUUAGCGACAGAAGAAGCACCGGCUAACUCCGUGCCAGCAGCCGCGGUAAUACGGAGGGUGCGAGCGUUAAUCGGAAUUACUGGGCGUAAAGCGCAUGCAGGUGGUUAGUUAAGUCAGAUGUGAAAGCCCGGGGCUCAACCUCGGAACUGCAUUUGAAACUGGCUGACUAGAGUACUGUAGAGGGGGGUAGAAUUUCAGGUGUAGCGGUGAAAUGCGUAGAGAUCUGAAGGAAUACCGGUGGCGAAGGCGGCCCCCUGGACAGAUACUGACACUCAGAUGCGAAAGCGUGGGGAGCAAACAGGAUUAGAUACCCUGGUAGUCCACGCCGUAAACGAUGUCUACUUGGAGGUUGUGGGCCUUGAGCCGUGGCUUUCGGAGCUAACGCGUUAAGUAGACCGCCUGGGGAGUACGGGUCGCAAGAUUAAAACUCAAAUGAAUUGACGGGGGCCCGCACAAGCGGUGGAGCAUGUGGUUUAAUUUCGAUGCAACGCGAAGAACCUUACCUACUCUUGACAUCCAGAGAACUUAGCAGAGAUGCUUUGGUGCCUUCGGGAACUCUGAGACAGGUGCUGCAUGGGCUGUCGUCAGCUUCGUGUUGUGAAAUGUUGGGUUAAGCUCCCGGCAACGAGCGCAACCCUUAUCCUUUGUUUGCCAGCACGUUCGGGCUGGGAACUCCAGGGAGACUGCCGGGUGAUAAAUCCGGAGGAAGGUGGGGUACGACGUACAAGUCACUCAUGCGCCCUUACGCAAAGUAGGGCUACACAAGCGUGCUACAAGUGCGCCGCAUACAGAGGGCAGCCAACUUGCGAAAGUGAGCGAACUCCUCAAAAUAGUGCGAGUCGUAGUCCGGAUUGGAGUCUGCAACUCGACUCCAUGAAGUCGGAAUCGCUAGUAAUCGUGGAUCAGAAUGCCACUGGUGAAUACGCUACACCAAAGG
rnacentral:rRNA from 1 species